UCAAGCUGACCCAUCUCCUUCUACGGAGACGAUGCCAUAGUCCCUAAGAGAGGACGACAAGGCCACAGAAUCCAGCCUUUCUGCCUGAGGCCUAACCACACGAGGGCCCCACCCUUGUGAUGCCACAGGGAGAAUUUCGUGAGGUGCCCUCAGACCACCUGGUUGAACACAACAGGGCUUUCAGACACGCAGGUCUUGCCAGACCCCUCACCUCUGGGGUCAGAUUCUGGAGGUGGGCCUGGAAGCCUCCAGUUUUUCACUUUUGAUGCCAUCUUUAUUGAGCUUUAAUUUCCAUACCACACAUUCACCCAUCUUAAGUAUAAAGGUCAGUGGUAUGUGUGUGUUCACAGGGCUGUACAACCACCAUCACGUCCAUUUUACAGCAUUUGCAUCAUCUCCCCAGACCCCACCCUUUAGAGGUCAUCCCUCAUUCCCGGAGCCCCAGCACCAACCGGCCACUCUCUGUCUCUGCGGAUGUGCCUGUGUGGACAGCUCAUGUAAGUGGAAUCAACUCAUUGUCCUUGUGUGUCUGGCUUCUCUCACUGAGCACCAUGUUUUCGAGGUUCAUCCACACUGUAGCCUGUGUUGUUGCUUCACUGCUUUUCAUGGCUGAGUGACAUUCACCCUCUCUGCUUUUAACUCUAUAAUUUAUUGUGAAUUUCUGCCUGCACUGCACAGGGCUGAUCAGAAAUUCAUCUUCCGUCCUUCUUGGGGUGUAAACUGCACUUUUAACCAACAUCCAGGGGUCCUGUGCAGAGGCUGAAAGCCCAGCGCCACACAGGGCACAGUCCCCCUGUGUGACCAGAGCCCAGGAGGAAAGCUGCAGCCGUGGACGGGCAGAUGAGGUGCAGCAGGGCAACUCCGUCCUCACAGGACUUGAUCCAUGUGGUCUGGGGGCGACAGACAGCGGUUUGAUGAGGACCAGCCACACAUGGAGUGAACAGAAGCAGCUCUGGCCGCUUCAGGAAAGCACACCCCCUGGGAAGAAUCACUGAGUGCUUGCUCCAGGCACAACCCCAGCCCUGGACAGCAUGACAUUUGACAACCCGUGACUUUCCUGGGGUCUUUCCUUUCAUGUAGAGAAAAGCUGAGAAGAACUGCUUGUAUUAAAAAAGUGACACCUUUGUGUUCACCCCUCUCACCAGUACUGCGGACACCUUGUCCUCGUGGGCUCCACUCAGGGCAGUGGUUCUCCUGUUGCUGGAGGAUGGACGAGGCACAUGUGCAGAACUGUUCUGGUUCCACACACAGCUGAUGUCCUGCUGCCUGGUGAAGCCACCUGCCCUAUCUCCUGUCCUUGCCCUGGGCUGGGAAAGGCAGGCAGUCUUGUGUUACGGGCAUGUGCCUGCUGUGGACUAAAUUGUGUCCUCAAAAUUCACAAGUUGUGUCCUCAACCCCAGGACCUCAGGAUGGGACUGUGUUUGGAGAUGAGGUCUUUAAAGAGGUGAUUAAAAUAAAAUGAGGACUUCCUAGGUGGCACAGUGGUUAAGAAUCCACCUGCCAAUGCAGGGGACAUGGGUUUGAGUCCCACUCUGGGAAGAUUCCACAUGCCACGGAGCAACUAAGCCCGUGAGCCACAGCUAUUGAGCCCGUGUGCUGCAACUAGUGAAGCCCACGUGCCUAGAGCCCAUGCUCUGCAGCAAGAGAAGCCAUUGCAAUGAGGAGUCCUCGCACCACAAUGAAGACUAGCCUCAACUCUCAGCAACUAGAGAAAGCCCGUGUGUAGCAACGAAGACCCAAUGCAGCCAAUAAUAAAUAAAAUAAUUAAACAAAAAAGUAAAAUGAAGCCACUAGGGUGGGCUGGUGCCGUUAUAGGAGGAGGAGAUUAGGACACAGACACACAGAGGGACGACCAUAUGAGGACACAUGGAGAAGACGGCUGUCCACACACCAAGGAGAGAGGCCUCAGGAGGAACCAGCCCUGCUUGACACCUUGCUCUGGAACUUCCAGCUUCCAAGACUGUGAGAAAUAAACGUCUGUUGUUUAAGCAGCCCUGUGUGUUGUAUUUGCUAUGGUAGCCAAGUUAAGACAACUUGCAUUAUGGGGACUUAAAGAUUUAAUGUCCUGGGAGGAGGGGGCUGCACCAGGGUCCCUCUGCAUGUGAGCUGCUCUGCAUGCAGGAGCUCCAGGGAGGCCAGUUGCA